AACAACUAUGCAGGUAGAGCCACCACAUUGGACAAGAGAAGAAAUAAGAAACAAAGCUCACUUUUAUUUUUAAAAUGGUAUUAUUCACCAUCUGUGAACCAUCUCGCCACAGGAAGUCUUUGACAAAUUCAAAUUUCUAAGAACCAUGAUUCUCAACAUUGGCUGCAUGAAGUACCACCUAUGAACCUCUGUAAAGAAUAAAGAUGUCCAAGACCCACUGAAUGAGAAAGUUGCUAAGCUCCCAGCAUUACUGACACAGGAAGCAUAAGUCUUCGUAACUUCAUGGAAAACCUGGUCCUUAAUUGAUACACGUUCAUUGAGGAUUUGGAUCAUCAAAUUUCAGU